rfam:Medicago truncatula strain A17 chromosome 8, whole genome shotgun sequence.
UGCCGAGAAAAACUUCGGUAGUUAACUGCAACCGGUUUCGUGUUUCCUCGGCAGUUAACUACCGAGGGGUAU